UUGCUAAGAUUAUAACAAAAAUUGGGACAAUAUUUAUAGUUUUCAAAACUUAUAAAAUUUAUAUGUUUAGAAAAAAAAUAUGCCAACUUAAAAGAUCCAAAUUACAUCCACAAACAAAACUCUAACUUUAUCUCACCAUUUCAUCUCAAAUUAACCUAAAACUUCCAGCCGAACUUUUCUUAGCUAAGCCCCAAAAAGAGUGAUCCCAAAAUAGGGGAGUCUAAAAGUGCCACGUGCUAUAAAACUAUAGGUGUGUGAAGUAUGGAAAAUACCCCACAAAAUUUAUAGUGCAGAAUUAAUCGACCACCUUAUCCUUUCCAGAUAUGCAUUUUCUAAUGAACAUCUUGAGCAUACGCAUUGAACAGAAUACUCAGUUCAAUAACUAGCCAGUGCUGAAGAAACCAAGUCCCCUCGACUUGACAAUAAGAGUCGGUUAUGGAGUAAACUAGCACUUCUCAAAUCAGACUGGCCCAACGAUACACAACUUGGUUUUGAAAGAUCAGGCACUAAAAGUUGUAGAACUGAUCUUCUUUCAUAUGGAGCCAUUGAAGCAGCAUGUCUUGUUAUAAUCGACACUUCCAUCGUGCUAUAAGUGGACAAUUCCAAAGAAUGGUAAGAUAUGGGUUAGAGACUAACAGUUCUAGCAGAUAUAACAUACAGAAGUAAGAACGGAAAGAGGAAAAGGAAAUCCUACGGGUUGGAUUGCUCGUGUGUCCGGGCCACAAAUCCUAUUUGAAAUGGAUGGUGUGCGUUUAUCAAAUGCUCAACAAACGCUACAGUAGCGGCGCAUAAGCUGUGUGCCUUUUAGUCGCUGUUCUUGCUGUAAGGACUUUCUGGCAUUUUAGUUCUACAGAGACUUUGAAUGCAGAGGACAAACUCUUUCGCUAUAAAAGUAUCAGGGACUUUUUUUUCUUCUUCUUCUAUAACCGUGGUACCUAGGCCAACUUGUGUGCACCUCAACUAAUUCCAUGAAUUACCUGCUACCUCCCACCAGCAAAGGUACGAGGGAAAUUUGUCCACCUUUUUAUAAGCAUGGUGUUUGGGCUAGCUUGCAUGCACCUCAACUAAUUUCAUGGGUUACCUGCUACCUCCCCAGCAGCAAAGAUACCAGAGAACUCUGUCCACCACGGCUUAGACAGAUGGAAGAUGGAACAAACCACUGAGUGUUUUUAUGUCUCUACUGGAAUUAGAACCUAAGACCUCAUGGUUCUCACACCACUUCAUUGACCACUAGGCCACCAAAGGCCAUGCCUUUGGGUGCAUAUCGAAGGACUUUUUUCGAAACAGGGUCCUAUAUAUCUAUUCGAAUUUCCUAAUGAUAGAACAACAGUGAGCAAGAAAUUGUUUGUUUGAUUGUACCUGUAAUAAGCUGGGAGUCAAUCCUGCAUAGAGCGCAGGAAUACCACCUUGCUCAACUAUCUUCAAGCUAGUUGCCAAUGCACUCAUCUUGGUGGCUCGGACCUGCAUCUGAAGCUGUCUCCUCACAACCUCAAAUGGGUAUGUAGCGGCUUCAGCACAAGCACCAGCAAUUGCUCCAUAUAUCAAAGUUCUAGCUGUACCCAAUUCCAGUUGAUCUAAUGCAUUUAGAUCUUCACCU